UAGAAAUAUACAGUUUGGCAUAAAGUUCAAACAGCAAACUUCCUCCAACUGAAAAGGUUACAUUUUCUCGAGGAGUUAAGUUUCAGUGGAACAAUAUGAACCCCGAUAACGAAAACCAUCAACAACAGCUUGUGAACAUCUUGUUAAGAAGUGACAGUAUAUUUUAGAGUCCAGACAUUGUUGAAUAAUAUGCGAAUGCAAACUGGUACGGAAUGGUUGUAAUAUGAUGUCACAUUAUGACAAACUGUUAGUUUUUGAAUCGGCACAACACACGCACACAUAGACAUUUUACUAUACAAAACAUUGGUUUAACAGAUUGGCAAAUGGUUGCCCGUAUUUGUAUUGAUGAGGUUUGGAAAAAUGGAUUGUUUUGCUUGCGUAUCUUCAUUUCUCGCUUAAUAAUCAAUAAAGGUUUAUCUGAAAAAAAAUCUCUCCAUGACAAUCAACUAUGAAAUUUAUUUGAAUAUGCCUGGGGUCGACACUAAUUAAUAGGGCACUAUAGUUUAUCGGAGUGCCCUAAUAGAAUUUAUUAAAUUCGCAUUUGCUUGCUUUUUAUAAGAAAAUCGUUCUUUAUUCGAGUUUAUUUUAUUUUCGGGAAAGGUCCUUUUCAAAAGUUACGGCAGUUUUUCUCCUAUGCCGUGGCUGGACGAGUUGGUCCAAACAUGAUGGAAACAAAUUCCAAAUUCCGCCUCGCUAGUUGGCCAAAGCAAACCCGAGGACUCUUCCCUGGAGGAUUGGAAUACGAACAACUCAAUGUCAAUCCGGGCAAAUAGGAAUCUGUAAGGUGCAAAAAUACAUCGGAAUUUUCCGCACUGUUGCUGAAGCAAGUGAUCCGCUCAAGUCUCUCUAGCGCACCUGGAUGAUUACAACCUCGGUUACAACCAACAACAGAGUGGAAACAACCGAAGGAAGAUGAAAGCUAAGCAACUCCCUACAAUCUUUCGGACCGCUUCCGACGGAGACCUCGAUGGAGACAACAUCUAGAUCAGCUUCUGGGACUUGUUUAGCUAAUCGUCCAUAUCGGCACAUCCGAGGUGCAGCAAAUGUCGACCAGGAGCAAGAAACCAUCCAGAAGUUUAUCAUUCUUUUUCGUGUUCAUUCAUUAAUGUUCCGUUGUUCGAGUUCGGAAAAAUAUGUCGUGCGUGAUGAUAUAUGAUGUCUUGAUUGUUCUAUGUACAUAAUGCAAUAAACAGUUUUUUUUUUAUUUAUUAUUUUUACAUUACAGGCUGGACCUCAUUAUCCGGAGCCGUGUUCUAAAACUUCUCAAACAUUCAUAGCAAACGGAAUGCUGUACAAAGAUGAAAUUGUGAUUGAAUACUUAUAAAACUUUUUAACUACAUGCCAAAGUUUCAGCUUCAUGCAUCAUUCCGUUCGUAAGAUAUAUGCUUGGGCAGUUUCAGAAUGCGACUUCGGAUAACCAGAGUCCAGCUUGUUUUUAUUAUUAUGGUUUAUGGUCUUAAUGCGAGGGAACAGUAUAUUAUAGGAUUUAAAUACAAUAAAGAACAAUAAGCUUCCAGUUACACAUA